CGGGGAAGUAUGGUUGCAAAGCUGAAACUUAAAGGAAUUGACCNGAAGGNCACCACCCAGGAGUGGAGCCUGCGGCUUAAUUUGACUCAACACGGGAAAUCUCCACCAGGCCCGNACACCGGAAGGAUUGACAGAUUGAGAGCUCUUUCUUGAUUCGGUGGGUGGUGGUGCAUGGCCGUUCUUAGUUGGUGGAGCGAUUUGUCUGGUUAAUUCCGAUAACGAACGAGACUCUGGCCUACUAACUAGACGUGAGAUCAUUUAUGGUCUUUCGCAGCUUCUUAGAGGGACGGGCGGCUUUUAGCCGCACGAGAAUGAGCAAUAACAGGUCUGUGAUGCCCUUAGAUGUUCUGGGCUGCACGCGCGCUACACUGUAAGAAUCAGCGUGUGUACCCUGUCCGAGAGGACUGGGAAACCCGUUGAACCUCUUACGUGAUGGGGAUUGGNGAUUGAAAUAUUCCCCAUGAACGAGAAUUCCCAGAGCGCGAGCAAAGCU
rnacentral:rRNA from 1 species